rnacentral:rRNA from 1 species
AGAGAGAGACAUGCGCGCAUAUCAAUAAGCGGAGGAAAAGAAACUAACAAGGAUUCCCCUAGUAACGGCGAGUGAAGCGGGAAGAGCUCAAAUUUGAAAUCUUAAAGGGUUUCCCUUUACGAAUUGUAGUUUAAAGAAGUGUUUUCUGUUGAGGUUUUGGUAAAAGUUCUUUGGAAUAGGACAUCAUAGAGGGUGAGAAUCCCGUAUUUGACCUUUACUUUCAACUUUGUGAUACACUUUCAAAGAGUCGGAUUGUUUGGGAAUGCAGUCCAAAAUGGGUGGUAAAUUUCAUCUAAAGCUAAAUAUUGGCGAGAGACCGAUAGCGAACAAGUACCGUGAGGGAAAGAUGAAAAGAACUUUGAAAAGAGAGAUUAAACAGUACGUGAAAUUGUCAAAAGGGAAGCGUUUGACACCAGUGUUGUUUUUCUGAAAAUCAAUUAAAGAACUGUUUAUGCUAAGUUGUUUAGACUUUAUCAGCUAACUGUUUAGUUUUGAGCUUUUCUUUAAUGCACUUUUCAGUUAACAAGUCAACAUCAAUUUCUUUUGCUGUAAAAAAGCUUGAGGAAGGUGGCUUGAGAUUCGUCUUAAGUGUUUAUAGCCUCUUGCCUAUGCAGUCGGAGAGAUUGAGGUCUGCAGCGUAGAUCCUUCGGGGCUAAAUGCAUUUGUGCUAAGUUAUAGCAUUUUAUAGACAACUUGUUGACUAUGAUUUGUCUUGUAGCUUACUCGCUUAUGUUAUUUUACCUACGCUUAGGAUGUUGAAGACUCUACAGAGAU